GCUGGGCAUGGUGGCACAUGCCUGUAGUCCCAGCUACUUGGGAGGCUGAGGUGGGAGGAUCACUUGAGCCCAGGAGGUCGAGGUUGCAGUGAGCUGUGAUAGUGCCACUGCACUCCAGCCUGGGCAACAGUGAGACCCUCUCUCAA
rnacentral:SRP_RNA from 1 species